rnacentral:rRNA from 1 species
GAUUAACGCUGGCGGCGUGCAUAACACAUGCAAGUCGAACGAUGAAACUUAACUGAUUUCUUCGGAAUGAUUUUAAGUGGAUUAGUGGCGGACGGGUGAGUAACGCGUGAGUAACCUGCCUUGGAGAAGGGGAUAGCCUUUGGAAACGAAGAAUAAUACCCUAUGAUAUGAUAAUAUCUCAUGAUAUUAUCAUCAAAGAUUUAUCGCUCUAAGAUGGACUUGCGUCUGAUUAGUUAGUUGGUGAGGUAACAGCUCACCAAGGCAGCGAUCAGUAGCCGGCUUGAGAGAGUGUACGGCCACAUUGGGACUGAGACACGGCCCAGACUCCUACGGGAGGCAGCAGUGGGGAAUUUUGCACAAUGGGGGAAACCCUGAUGCAGCGACGCCGCGUGAUUUAGAAGGCCUUCGGGUUGUAAAAAUCUUUUGUAUGGGAAGAAAAUGACAGUACCAUACGAAUAAGGACCAGCUAAUUACGUG